rnacentral:lncRNA from 1 species
CAUUUUUUAAGGCUUCCAUUGGCUCUAGGAAGGCGCCAGAAAGUGGAAUGAGAGCUCUCCAGUCUCUGGGCGAAAAACAGCAGGGGUUUUUGUGAGUGGUCCUGCUGAGAACAAUGACACUGCAGCGCGCGUGCACGAGACGACUCCAUUUUUUCCUUUCAGUGUUUGAACGAAUACAACGUCACCCGGUUGGAAUACUAUCGCUAUUUUACGAGAAAAAUAGCAUAAAAAUGUAUUUUAAACAGCGUUUGACAUGCUUCGAAGUACGAUAAUGGAAUAUUUUGAAUUUUUUUGUCACGAAAUGCACCGUCAUUCAAGUCACUACCUUUCGGAUAGUGACUUGAACGCACAAACAAAACGGAGCUAUUUGGAUAUAACUAUGGAUUAUUUUGAACCAAAACAACAUUUGUUGUAGAAGUCCUGGGAGUGCAUUCUGACGAAGAACAGCAAAGGACCUGAGCCCUAGGACCAUGCCUCAGGACUACCUGGUAUGAUGACUCCUUGCUGUCCCCAGUCCACCUGGCCGUGCUGCUGCUCCAGUUUCAACUGUUCUGCCUGCGGCUAUGGAACCCUGACAUGUUCACCGGACGUGCUUGUUGCACCCUCGACAACUACUAUGAUUAUUAUUAUUUCACCAUGCUGGUCAUUUAUGAACAUUUUAACAUUUUAACAUCUUGACCAUGUUCUGUUAUAAUAUCCACCCUGCACAGCCAGAAGAGGACUGGCCACCCCUCAUAGCCUGGUUCCUCUCUAGGUUUCUUCCUAGGUUUUUGGCCUUUCUAGGGAGUUUUUCCUAGGGAGUUUUUCCUAGCCACCGUGCUUCUUUCACAUGCUUUGCUUGCUGUUUGGGGUUUUAGGCUGGGUUUCUGUACAGCACUUUGAGAUAUCAGCUGAUGUACGAAGGGCUAUAUAAAAAUAAAUUUGAUUGAUAAUCACUCAGGUGCUUCGCUAUGUCCCAUUUGACAUCGUCCAUAAGCUUGAGUUCAUUUGCACACAAAAACUCAAACAAUGAUGGAAAGAUCUGUGUGUUGUCCUUGUUAAUGCAGACAGAGAAUAGCUCCAACUUCUUAAUCAUAGCCUCAAUUUUGUCCUGCACAUUGAAUAUAGUUGUGGAGAGUCCUUGUAAUCCUAGAUUCAGAUCAUUCAGGCGAGAAAAAACAUUACCCAGAUAGGCAAAUUGUGGCCAUCAUGCAAGAGUAAAAUGUGAAAAUGAUGGUCAGCAAAGAAAACUUUAAGCUCGUCUCUCAAUUAAAAAAACAUGUAAAAGUUUGCCCCUUGAUAAUCAGCGUAUGUUGUAAAAGUGUUACAUGGUCGCUGCCCAUAUCAUUGCAUAGUGCAGAAAAUAGUUCAGGGGCCUUGCUUUAACAAAGUUAACCAUUUUUACUGCAGUGUCCCAAACAUCUUUCAAGCUGUCAGGCAUUCCCUUGGCAGCAAGAUCCUCUCGGUGGAUGCUGCAGUGUACCCAAGUGGCGUCGGGAGCAACUGCUUGCAUGUGUGUUACCACUCCACUAUGUCUCCCCGUCAUGGCUUUUGCGCCAUCAGUACAGAUACCAACAUGAGCAGCAGCUACAGUUUUGCUACAUACGGACCGUUAGUGGAAUUCCCGUGAGAGGUAAUGGUUAAUGUGAUUGGAUAAUAAUUAUUUUACAAGGCUACCUGUAUUUGACAUUAUGUUGAUAUUUUGCUGAAAUCUAGAUGGUUUAAUUUUAUUUUUGGCAGUGAAACGAGGUUACUCAGGCAUGAAAAAAACAUCACCCAAAUGUAUAGCCCCGUUGGGAAAUAUAAAUGGACUGUUGGAACAUGUGAAGAAUUGUUUUUGUUUUUUUAUUUAAAAAAAUAAAAAAUGUGAAUCACAUUUUUCUUUGGCAUUGCUACCCUAGUUUGGGAAGACCUGUUAUAAGACAUGAAAGUCAGUCAAUCCGUAAAAUUUUCAAGAAAUUAGAAAAAUUCUUCAAGUGAAGUUCCAAAAACCAUUUAAGCGCUAUGAUGAAACUGGCUCUCAUGAGUACUGCCACAGGAAAUGGAGACCCAGAGUUACCAUUGCUGCAGAGGAUAAGUUAAUUUGAGUUACCAGCCUCAGCAAUUGCUGCCCAAAUAAAUGCUUCACAGAGUUCAAGUAACAGACACAUCUCAACAUAAACUGUUCAGAGGAGAAUCAGGCCUUCCUUGUCGAAUUGCUGCAAAGAAACCACCACUAAAGGACACACAUACGAAGAAGAUACUUGCUUGGGCCAAGAAACACAAGCAAUGGACGUUAGACAGGUGGAAAUUUGUCCUUUGGUCUGCAGUCCAAAUUUGAGAUUUUUGGUUCCAACCGCCGUGUCUUUGUGAGACACAGAGUAGGUGAAUGGAUGAUCUCCGCAUGUGUGGUUCCCACCGUGAAGCACGGAGGAGGAGGUGUGAUUGUGUGGGGUUGCUUUGCUGGUGAUACUGUCUGUGAUUUAUUUAGAAUUCAAGGCACACUUAAGGCUACCACAGCGAUACACCAUCCCAUCGGGUUUGCGCUUAGUGGGACUAUCAUUUGUUUUUCAACAGGACAAUGACCCAACACACCUCCAGGCUGUGUAAGUGCUGUGUAAGGAGAGUGAUGGAGUGCUGUAUCAGGUGACCUGGCCUCCACAAUCACCUUACCUCAACCCAAUUGAGAUGGUUUAGGAUUAGUUGGACCGCAGAGUGAAGGAAAAGCAUCAAAGCCAAGGUUGGCUACUGAAGAAUUGAAAAUAUUAAAUAUAUUUUGAUUUGAUUAACACUUUUUUGCUUACUACAUGAUUCCAUGUGUUAUUUCAGAGUUUUGAUGUCUUCACUAUUUUUCUACAAUGUAGAAAAUAGUAAAAAUAAAGAAAAACCCUUGAAUGAGAAGGUUUGUCCAGACAGUUUCAGGUUGCCUUUUGGAGUGCCAAACUUCCUUAGCCUUCUGAGAAUAAACAUUCUCUGGUUGGCUUUUUUUGGUUGGUGUAUUUACCUGCAUGUCCCAUCUAAAGUCAGCCUGCACCCACAAGCCUAUGAGCUUGGUGACUUAGACUAUCACAUUUGAAGGUCAGGCAGAAGAGUCAAAGCACUGAAUAACUAGAAAACAGGAACUAAGACAAGACAGGAGCAAGUGGAAAAAUGCUGGUAGGUUCUACAAACAAAAGGAAUUGACAACAGACAAACAGAGAACACAAGUAAAAAUACACUGGGGAUAAUUGGGAAGCUGGGCAACAUUGGAGGGGGUGGAGACAAGCACAAAGACAGGUGAAACAGAUCAGGGCGUGACAGGGACACUUUCCAGCCUAAUGCCAUCUAUGCUCAGAUGAGGCAGGGUGGGUGUGUUCUUUGUAAAGCAGAC